rnacentral:rRNA from 1 species
AUUCCAGCUCCAAUAGCGUAUAUUAAAGUUGUUGCAGUUAAAAAGCUCGUAGUUGAAGUUUGGUCUCGGACGCUGGGUCUGCUUCAUUGCAUGUACUUGACGGUCCGAGACUUCCUUCUUGGUGAACGGCCGCCUUCGGGUGGUCCGGAACCAGGACUAUUACUUUGAAAAAAUUAGAGUGUUCAAAGCAGGCCAUAGGCCCGAAUAUAUUAGCAUGGAAUAACAGAAUAGGACGUGCGGUUCUAUUUUGUUGGUUUCUAGAACUGCCGUAAUGAUUAAAAGGGACAGCCGGGGGCAUUAGUAUUUGCACGCUAGAGGUGAAAUUCUUGGAUUGUGCAAAGACUUCCUACUGCGAAAGCAUUUGCCAAGAAUGUUUUCAUCG